UCAGGUCUGUGGUUGCAAGUCGAUGCCAGUUGCAGGCGAAACGAUCCACGUAAACAGUUCGAAAUGGAACUGCGAGCACGGUGCAGUAUAGAAGUAAGACCUGCCGCAUAUAUUAAUUUUUCAGCGAGAGGGGUAGUAGUGGGGAGCGCGAAGGCUUAGGAGCGAACCCUCCAGCAGGCGAGUGUGGGGGCGAAAACCAGGUCAGCUGAG
rnacentral:ncRNA from 1 species